CCAGAGUACAGGGUGCCAGAGUACAGGGGUGUGAGUACAGGGGUGCCAGAGUACAGGGGUGCCAGAGUACAGGGGUGCCAGAGUACAGGGGUGUCAGAGUACAGGUGU